rnacentral:misc_RNA from 1 species
UCUCCGUAGGUGAACCUGCGGAGGGAUCAUUACUGAGUGAGGGCUUCGGUCCGACCUCCAACCCUUUGUGAACCAAACUUGUUGCUUCGGGGGCGACCCUGCCGUUUCGAUGGCGAGCGCCCCCGGAGGCCUUCAAACACUGCAUCUUUGCGUCGGAGUAUUAGUAAAUCUAAUCAAAACUUUCAACAACGGAUCUCUUGGUUCCAGCAUCGAUGAAGAACGCAGC